rnacentral:rRNA from 1 species
UACAGAGGUGGCAAGCGUUGUUCGGAAUUACUGGGCGUAAAGGGCGCGUAGGUGGCCUUCUUAGUCAGACGUGAAAUCCCCGGGCUUAACUCGGGAACUGCGUCUGAUACUGGAAGGCUGGAGUUCGGGAGAGGAAUGUGGAAUUCCAGGUGUAGCGGUGAAAUGCGUAGAUAUCUGGAGGAACACCGGUGGCGAAGGCGGCAUCCUGGACCGACACUGACGCUGAGGCGCGAAAGCUAGGGUAGCAAACGGG